AGUGAACGCUGGCGGUAGGCCUAACACAUGCAAGUCGAACGGCAGCACAGUAAGAGCUUGCUCCUACGGGUGGCGAGUGGCGGACGGGUGAGGAAUACAUCGGAAUCUACUUUUUCGUGGGGGAUAACGUAGGGAAACUUACGCUAAUACCGCAUACGACCUACGGGUGAAAGCAGGGGAUCUUCGGACCUUGCGCGAUUGAAUGAGCCGAUGUCGGAUUAGCUAGUUGGCGGGGUAAAGGCCCACCAAGGCGACGAUCCGUAGCUGGUCUGAGAGGAUGAUCAGCCACACUGGAACUGAGACACGGUCCAGACUCCUACGGGAGGCAGCAGUGGGGAAUAUUGGACAAAGGGCGCAAGCCUGAUCCAGCCAUACCGCGUGGGUGAAGAAGGCCUUCGGGUUGUAAAGCCCUUUUGUCGGGAAAGAAAAGCAGCAGGUUAAUACCCCGCUGUUCUGACGGUACCCAAAGAAUAAGCACCGGCUAACUUCGUG
rnacentral:rRNA from 1 species